AUACGGAGGGUGCAAGCGUUACUCGGAAUCACUGGGCGUAAAGCGCGCGCAGGCGGCUAUUUAAGUUGGAUGUGAAAGCCUACGGCUCAACCGUAGAACUGCAUCCAAAACUAUUUAGCUAGAGUGUGGGAGAGGAAGAUGGAAUUAGUUGUGUAGGGGUAAAAUCCGUAGAGAUAACUAGGAAUACCAAAAGCGAAGGCAAUCUGCUGGAACACUACUGACGCUGAGGCGCGAAAGCGUGGGGAGCAAACAGAAUUAGAUACCCUAGUAGUCC
rnacentral:rRNA from 1 species